rnacentral:piRNA from 1 species
UGAUUUGAGAGUGACCCUGGAAACACUAU